UGCGCGGGAGCUCGGCUCCUCCCCACGAGCCCCGGCCGGGCGGGAGGCGGGAAACGGCCGCCUUCACCCUACCCCGCCCGGGAUCCCGCAAUCCCGCCGCGCCAGUCAGCUCCCCGCUCACCUGUCAAUCCUCCUCCGGGGCUGGCGGCUCGGGGCGGCCCGGGCUCCUGGCUACGCGUCCCCGCCGGUUCCGGGAGCCCGCGCGUCUCAGGGUGACUCGCUCAGCCCCACCGCUCAGAGUAGCUGUCAGAAGUGCAGGCGCCAGGGGUCACUCAAGUAACCCCGAGAUCAGGAUUGAACCCGAAUGCUCCGAUGCUGUGCAGAAGGGGCAGACUGCCUGUAGCCUCGGAUGUGGAUGUCAAGUAAAGCCCCAUUGUGGGGCAGGGCAGGAUGCUCACAGAGCAAAUACAUCUUACUGAGCCCAGGGUUAUGAAUCUGUUUUGUACAAACCGACUGCUUGUGUGAGUUCUUCAGAAUCGCGGCUUCUGAGUCAUUGAAGGUGACUCUGCCCCUACCCCUCCUGAAGUGGUUGCUGACAUUGGCACAAAUGGAACUGUCGAGAUUGGGCGUGUUCUCUCUGGCCUUGGAGCUGGGUGCUGCAGAGGGAGAGCAGGCUCGGAUGAUCUUGGCCCUUCCCAAAUGAGGUUAUAGGCAGUCCCCAAGAGCUUUAACAACUCACUCCUGAGCCCCGGGCGGGUCUCUGCUCACUCCCAAGCUCUUCUGAAUACCCCUUUAGGUAUGAAUUUGAAGAUCUGAUUUGACUAUCAGCCCCAAAAUGCUCAGGUCUGUUGUGGGGUUUUAGUCUUCAUUGUAUCCCUUUGUCAUAUGGGUAAGCAGAACAGGAUCUACCUUACCUCUGGAGACAGAACACUCAAGGUCUUUCUAGUGAAAAGGUUCAGAGAAAGCUCACAGUGUUUGUCAACGUGGAAACUGGUUGGAGUACAUUGAUGGUCUCAUGGCCACAGUCAGGGAUGAACUAACAGCAUCUGGGUUUGCCCACGUGCUUUCGGAAUAGGCUGCACUUCAUCACACAUUCAAUCUUUGGAAUAAACUGUCACCAUUUUAGUGUUAGUUGAAGUAUAUACAGCAACACACUGGGCUAGGAUAGAGCUCAGAGGCGGAGUGUUUGCCUGGCGUACACGAGGCUGUCUGUGGUUUCAGUCACCAGCACCAAAAUAAUCAUAAUUUUUAUUGAUAGAGAAAGAUGUUUGCUAGGCUGGCUUCCUGUCACUGUGGUCCACCUGUGCCAGACUGGGGGUGGCUGCUUUAGGAGGGACUCACCUUCGGAAAGCAAGCAUCUUCUAGUCACUCAUCUCUCUUUGAGAGUUAAACGUUAGGAUGUGGGUCUGGAGUGAUGACUCCACAGUUAAGAGCGCAUACUGCUCUUGAGGAUCUGAGUUCAAUUCCCAACAACUCCAGCUCCAGGGGAUCAAACGUUUCUGCUUCCAAGGGCACUUGCACUAG